CUUCGGUACAUCGGUGACAGGUGGUGCAUGGUUGUCGUCAGCUCGUGUCGUGAGAUGCUGGGUUAAGUCCCGCAACGAGCGCAACCCCUAUUGUUAGUUGCCAUCAUUCAGUUGGGCACUCUAGCGAGACUGCCGGUAAUAAACCGGAGGAAGGUGGGGAUGACGUCAAAUCAUCAUGCCCCUUAUGACCUGGGCUACACACGUGCUACAAUGGUUGGUACAACGAGUUGCGAGUCGGUGACGGCGAGCUAAUCUCUUAAAGCCAAUCUCAGUUCGGAUUGUAGGCUGCAACUCGCCUACAUGAAGUCGGAAUCGCUAGUAAUCGCGGAUCAGCACGCCGCGGUGAAUACGUUCCCGGGCCUU
rnacentral:rRNA from 1 species